rnacentral:lncRNA from 1 species
AUGACUGAUUGAAUCUGGUUCCAAAUGAAUUGAGAUCCGCGUGUAUGACAGAUCCAAAUGCGAAAGAGCAUUGCUCAAAUUGUAUUGCGGAAAAGAGCCAGUGAGUCCUUCGUUGCUCCAUAAAUCGAGCCAUUGAAGGUUUGAUCGGCGAAAUAAAUUAUCAGGGAGUUCCCCUUUCAAUCCACAACGCCAGAGUUGGAGAGAUGACAAAGAAGAAGACAAGUUCAUCAAGGAACUGGGUACCACUAAAGACAUGUUCACUCCACCCAAGUAGAGUUCUCUUAGCUGGGUAAGGUUCUGAGCAAGCUUGUUGAAAGAAAUCGGUUCCAGCAUCAGCUCCUCAGAGUUGGAAGAGAGAUCAAGUGACACCAAUCUGGAUAAAUGGGAGAUUUCUGGGGGAACUUGGCCUGCAAAAUUCGAUGAAUUUAGAUUUAAAUGCGUCAAAUGCAAGAACUGGCCAAAGGAAGAUGAAAUGACAGAGCGAUUGAAGUCAUUGCGGGAGAGAUCGAGCUUCUGAAGAUGAUGAAGGGAGAAGAGAGUGCUGUUAGAAUGGAGGGUGCCAUAAAGCAUGCUGCAACCAAGGUCUAGGCCAAUUACAUGGCCAGUUUUCAUGUUGCAUGUCACGCCAUCCCAAGUGCAGCAAUCUGUACCCUCUUUCCACAGCACUUUCUCGGGUGGAUAACAUGGAAAUGUAGAUGGAGAAGAAGGCAUGGGAAAGGAAUUUUUGAAUUGGAGCAAAGCCAGGCUCUGGUCACGGGGGCAUAAUUGUACUGAAGAGGAGAAAUUGGAAGAAGAAUGAGCAGGUUGGGAGUGCGAAUGGAAGAGAAGGAGGCAGAGAAAUUGAGCGAGCAACAAUGAAGAUCCCAUCAUUCCCUAAAAGUGCUCUUCUUAGAGAUUAAAAUGUGGAAGGUAACUUAGAUUGAUGGGAGACUUCUAUUAGAAUGUAGUCUAUAUAUAGAGACUUCCGGAAGGCAUAUUUUCCCUAAUAUUUAAAUAAUCAAUUUUAUAUGUACUAAUAUUUGCACUCAAUUUGUCCAAAUAAAUAUUAAUAUUAUAGCAUUGUAAAGAGAUCUUUGAUUUUUAAUCUGUUUCGAUUUUAUAAACUCUGAUUUUUAUUUUUUUUGCUAAUCAAAUCUUUCUCUUGAAGUUUUCACAUUCUCGCCUAGUAUGAAUUUCCAUUCUUUUAUUUUAUGGUAUAUUUGGAAAUGUAGUCCAAUCAUAAUUAAAAAGAAUUUUUAUUUUUUUAAUUAAUUUUUAAAAUUUUUAGAUAAAAUACGCUGAUUUUAAAAAUAAAAUUUUAAAAAUAACAAAUAUUAUUUUAAUAUAUUUUUUUAAAAAAACUUGAAAAACAAUUUCUAUCCGUACUCUUAAAGAUUCUUUGCUUGUCAUUUACCUUGGUUUUACUUGUAAUACUUUCUCUUUAUUUGCAUCAUUUGUUUUAAUUGAUGAUUGAAUAUUUUAAUUAGUUACAACAAUAUUCAGAUAGUGUUUGAUUCUGUGGCACCACUAUGUUAAAAAAGCAAAAUUUAUUUUUUUUUAAUUUUUUUUGUUUUGUUUUUUUAAAUUAUUUUGGUAUAUUAAUAUCAAAAUACUUUUAAUAAAAAUCAAUUUAAAAAACAAACAUCACUGUAAUAACCAAUACCAUAAUUUUCAAUAUUUUAAAUAAUCUACUUCCUAAUCAUUUUACAUGUUCACACACGCUCAUUUUCUCAAGUUUAUCAAAUCAAACAUUUUUGAAGACUAGUCAGCAUCGAGGUUCGUCGGCUCAAGUUUCCUGGAAGGAUUGGUGAUGCAUAACAAACUACAAUAUUUGGAUUAAAGAAAAAAAUAACUUUAAAAAAAAAAACAAACAAGACUCGGUGCAUCUAAUUUCCAGGAUGGGCCAUGCACCUCAAUUAUGACGACUUUAAAAAGUUUUGACAUUAUUCCAAUCCAAGUUGAUAUUAGUUGGUUAGUAGGAACAUUCGAAUCCAAGUUGAAAUAAGAUCCACGCAACCACUUGUUAUUAGGAGCAUUCUAAUCCAAGUUGAAAUAAAAUCCCAGCAACCACUUAUUAUUAGUUGGUUAUUAGAACUUAGAAGCAUUCUAAUCCAAGUUGAUAAAUAGUAACUUUCAAAUUAAUAGACGGCUCAAAAGUGUUGGGUCUAUUUAACAUGUGUCUGUAUAUUACAAAGAAUUAAAAACCGAAAGUCACCUAAUGACUUUUCAAAAGCCAACCUUAACUUUUCUUCGUUAGUAAAUGGCAAACUAUAAAACCUCAAGAAAGAGAGAGUUUGAAAACAUAUAUAUACAGGAUAAAUAGUAAAUUUUAAAUUUUCUCAAGAAUUUCAAAAAUUCUUGUUAGAAAAAUCUAAAGUUGUUUAAAAUUUAUGUGGAGAUUACCUAAAAAUCUGAAUUUCUUUUGAUUUUGAAUAUAUACUUUAAAGUUGAGUUAUCGCAAAUCACAACCCUUCCAAUUAUUUGAUCUCUAAAAUUAAUUCACACGAACCAUAAGUGAUAAAUCUCUCAAACCCUUUUAGAAGAGAGAGAUUGUCAUAUCUUAAAGUUAUAACUCUUUUCUUUUGUAUUUUAAGUAUUUCAGUACUGUAUUCUACUCAUUUUUUUUUACCUUCCACGUAAAAUAGAAGACAUAAUUUUUUUAUUUAUAGAAAAAUCUAAAAACCCUAUAAAUAAUAAAAUCCACAAAUAAAAUGUAGCUGUAGAUUACCUUUUUUUUCUUUAGUACAACCACUUAAAAUUUGUAAGGAAGAAAUGAGAUUUUUUUUUUUUUUUUUUAGAAAUGAGAUUUUUGAAUUUAUAUACUUAACGAGAAAAAAAUGUUUGGCCAUCCAGAUGAUUGUAAGGUGGAAGACUUGUUGAUAUGGCUUUCCUUGGUCUUCUCUCCAAAUACAACGUCGCAACUUGACUUGACAUUCAUCGAUAGUAAGGUUAUGGAGGCAUGAAUACACGCAAGCAACAAGUGACUAGACUACACGUGGUGGCACAGAGGUGUGAAUGUGCAGAGAUUAGCCCCAUUAUAAUGAAAUAUUUAUAUGUUAUUCUAUUAUACUAUACUUUUAAAACAUGUGAGAAAAAUAUUGUAUAUUUAUUAUGGAUAUAGAUUUAUUAUAUUAUAAAUUAUACUAUAAAUAAAGAGUAUUUACACUAUAAAUGACAGCACUGUAGCAUCAAGUAGCGUUCUUUUCUAUGUUUUCUUAUUAUUAGAAGCAUUCUAAUCCAAGUUGAUAAAUAGUUUUCAAACUAGUAGAAGCAUUCUAAUCCAAGUUGAUAAAUAGUUUUCAAACUAGUGGAUGGCGCAAAAGUGUUGGGUAUAAAUGGCGUUAGUAAAUGGCAAAGUAAUACAACUUUGGCGCCAUAAAGAUGAACCUUUGCAUUUAACCUAUUGACAAAAAGACUACAUUAAGAGAUUAUCAUCUCAUGGCUAUUGAGAACGAAUCCAAUCAAGCAAACUACCAAUUGAGCCGAAGACAUGGCUAAUUGCUCACAAGGAUAUGUAGGAGAUUGGGAAAUUUCUUACUUCACACCGUAGCUAGACUAGGUAUAUGUCAAAAGAAGGCAACUUGCAAGGCCAGCUCUUAUCGAGGGUACGUCCUUGUGGAUUAUUAAUUCUUUUAUCAAAUUAGUGUUUUGUCUUUUUGGGCAUCAUUCUUCUUCUUUAGUCAUCCUAAAAGAUAUAUUUAUUCAAUCAUUCUUUCAUCAAAAUGAACUCUAUCACCCACUAGUGAUAUAUAUAUUCUUGCCCUCUGAAUCCAGUCUAAUUAAGAAACUUGUUGUUAUAUAUAUAUAUAUAUAUAUAUAUAUAUAUAUAUAUUCUUUCAUUAUUUCAAUGCAUGUGAAUUCAAGCAUCAAAUGAAUUAUAUUUCAUGUCAUUUCAUCGAGAGAUAGAGAAAUUUGUUGUUGCCUUCCACCGACUUCACCCCGGCAUUAAGUUGUUUUAAUCCUUAAACAAUAGUUUUAUUGUAGUCAUCACAGAUAGUGUACUGUAGAUGACACUGUUUCUUCAACAAUAUCUUUUUUAUUAUCAAACUUUAUUGUUUUUUAAUUUUAUCAUCUCAAAGUUAUAUUAGCAUCAUUUAAUGUGUUUGAAUUUGCUUUACUUUGCAUAAAACUUGUGUAUGAAAAGGGUUUUGCAAAAUUCCAAAAUUAAAUUAAAGAAUAACUUUAUGAAAUAUAUUUUACGAUGGUCAUUAAAAAAUUAAAUUAAAAAACAAAGCACACAUUUAAAAAGGCUUAAAAAACAUUAUUUUAACCCCUGAAGUUUCAGUUUGCAUAUUAUUUGGUCCCUGCAAUUUCUUAAUUUUAUAUAUUAUCUCUAAACUUUAUUUUUAUCAUCUCCCUAAGUUUAAUGAGACAAGAUAGAAAGCCAUAUGGAAUAUAUCAUCUCCCCUGAAAGAGUUCUGGCUCGAAACGUUUCUUCUCUUCUCUUCUUGGCUUGUGGUGUCGGUGUUUCGAAGGAGAGAAAUGGCGGCAACUCGAUUUUUUUAUUUAUUUCAAAUUAUCACACUUCUCUCUCCUCUCUCUCUCUCUCUCAAGCAAGGAAAUUAUAAUUUGACGUUUCUGCUUUAUUUCAAAAUUUGGAUUCAGAACGGUGUCGUUCUUCAAGUAACUCUUUCAAUUUUUUAACCUUAAAUAGUGUUAAAAAUCCUAAAUUAAAAAAAAAAAGAAUUUUGUUGUUCUGUUUUUUUUUCUUAAAAUCGUAAACCUAAAUAGUGUUUAUUUUCAAAUUGAUUUACCUUUUCUUUAUUACAUUGUUUAUUGAUUUCUUUGUGAAUAUCUUUAGUGUAGUACCUAGAUUUUUUAGAUUUUACCCAUCAAAAUACCUUUAUAGUUUAUUAGGUUUUUUUAUCUAAAAACCUUACCUAAUCUCUUAGUGAUUUAUUUUGAUCUAUUAGGUUAGCAUUCGGUUACCCUUUCACCGUAAAAAAGAGCCAAAAAUAGUUGGAACAUAGUGGAUAAGAUAAAAUAAAAAAUUAAGAUAAAAUUGUGUUUAAUAAUAGUUUAUAUAUCUGUAUUUUAUUUUAUUGAUGCAAGACAUGGAAAAAUACAAUAAUUUUUUUUUAUUUUACUCUUAAUAUGUAUUUAUCAUCUAACUUCCAAUGUUUUAAAUAAUAAAUAGAGAUCAUUAUUUUUUACUUUAAUUUAUAAUCAUCAUUAAUUUUUUUAACUAACUUAAAAUGAUAAUUUCUCAUAUCCCAGAGAUCAGGCUAAAAAGGGAUUAAUAAUUAUCGUAAAAAAGAUAAUUAAUCCCUAAGAAGACAAUAUAACUCAAUUAUAAUUUACUUAGUCAAUAAAUUAUUUUUAUAAUGUAUUUCAAAUCUAACAUAAUUAGAAAUGCAAGAUAAUAAUUUUAUAUUAUAUAUUUUAACACAAAUUUAAAUACUCCACUUUUUUAAACAAUUAAAUCAACACUCAAAUUCAAUUUAACAAUAAAAAGACAUGAAAACACCCACUCAAGAUUACGAACAUAAAUUUAACACUAGAAACCACCUUUAAACAACUAAUCAACAAAAAAUUCAGUUUUAAAAUUCUUAGAUCGAAAACUAUAAAUUCAUGUAUCUUUCAAAUCUAGAAUUAAAAUUGUUUGAAUUUGGUGUCUACGAGCUCCUAACGAUGAGAGCUUCUAUUUUAUAAUGAUGUUGUUUGGUAAUUUAGUUGGAUUCUAUUUGAUCAAUAUUUUAUCUCCUCUCUUUCUCUCAUGUUUAUAUUUCUUAUAUAUUUUUAAUGAAUUUUACUUUUAUAUUUUUCUAGUUUUUAUAUCUAAUAGUGGAAAUUAAACUAGUUCAAAUAAAUAAACCAUAUCUAAAUGUAAGAAUAGAGAUUGAAAUUUUGAAACAUUCAAGAGAAUAAUUAUGAAUUUUUUUUGUCUUUGUCUAUGGUCUAUGGACAAAAAAAUAACUAAAAAUUGUCCAUAAAAUAGAGAUAAAAACCUAUUUUUGUCUAUAAAUAUAUAGUCAAAAUAAAAAACAAUAAAAAAACACGAUUUUAUCCAUCGUGUUUUCUUAGAAUUAUAAUCUUUUUUGUUCCAUUUUAAUAUUUUUCCUUAUUUUAACUAUAUAUUUAUAGGCUAUAUAUUUUGAACCUAUAUCUAUUUGAUCACAAAAUAGUUACCACACCAACUACUAGUUAAUUUCCAAGUAUUACACAAAACUAGCUAUGAAAUAUAUAUUAAAAUAUAUAGCAGCCAAAGCAUGGCUAAUUAGGACUCCAAAUUAUAAACACACAAAUUAAAACAAAAACAAAAACAAAGAAAGGAAAAAAAAAAGGAACAUAAGUAGCUAGCCUGGAAGAUGAUCCCCUCUCCUUUUGACAGUUGUCAAUAGAGUCCACAGGGCCUUGCUUGAAUCUAAUCGAGAGAAGUUUACAAGAAAACACAAGCAAGUUCAACGCUAAAGUAAAGAUUUUUUAGAUUUUCUAGUCGAAAUUCAGGAAGUACCAUCCGAAAUAUGGAUCAGUUUGUGAAGUAGGCAUAAGCUAAAUAUAACUGUAACAACACAUAUGUUGUUAUUUAUUUUUGAAUCCUCUCAAAAAAAAAAUACAAAAAAAAUAAGAGUCGAAAAAAUUCAAUAAUAAUAAUAAUAAAUAAAAUAAAUAAAUAUGUCGCAGUGAGAAAAGAUGCCGGAGCGCCCAAAAAUGGCCAAAAAUUAGUUGAAGAUGUUCAAAAAUACAAAUAUUGAAAUUUGGCAAUAUAUCGUUGAUGAAUGAGAGCUGUGUUGAUAAAGAAAAUUCAAUUUUAAAAAUAUAUAUCCAAAAUCAGAUGUUUAUGGACUCAAUUAAAUUGUAUCGAGGGUUUAAUUGAAUUUAUGAAGGGUUUGAUUGAAAAAAAAAUUGAUUUUUAAGUCGAUUUAGGUUUUUAUUGGAAGGAAUUAAAGUUCUAGGGUCCAAUUAUAAUUUUGAAGAGUUGAUUUGGUCAAAUCAGGGGCUUAAUUGCAUAAUUAUUAAAGUUUGACGACCAAUUAGGGACUUGAUUGAAAAAUUUUGAAACCAAGGACCAAAUCGGAAAAGGCGCGUAAAUAGAGGGGCGGAAAUUGACCAAGUCAGGGGCUAAAUUGAAAAAAUUAGAAGUUUAUUGAUCAAAUGAGGGUCAAAUCGCAUGAAUCCAGAACCAAAGAUUGUCUUGUAAACAACGUUAAAAUCAAGGGAUCCAAUUACAAUUUAUCUGGGGGCUUGAUUGCAAAAUUGCAAAAAAUCCAAUGACCAAAUUGGAAAUAUUCAUUUUGAAUUUUAAAACACUGUAGUUUCCUUGACAAUUGUUCAUUACCUUCUUCAUUAACAACGGUUUUGGUAGUAAAAGGCAGUGAAGACGUUAGCGGUGGAACUGCUUCAAUGAGGGGAGCACGUCUCACGGCUGAUAUCCCUCGCCACCGUGAUGCACGCCGACCGUUACUAUCUUCAUGCAAUAAUCCCAAAAAAUGCAUGCAUCCUCUAACUAUAAAAGCUAGAGGAGAGACGGACAGUGGAGAGGGGGGAAAAAUCAGAGAGGGGAUCAAAGGAGAACAGGGGAAAAGAAAGAAAAGCUAAGAGAGAAAGACAGAGAGGAGAGUGAACGAAGAACAAACAAAAAAAACCAAAAAAAGAGGGAAAUAAGCAGAGAGAAGCACAAGCAUAAGGCAAGAAGAAGAAGAAGAAAAUAUAGAGAAACCGAAGCAGCAUCCUCCGCGUACCACCACCAGUCUUCCUCUUUACCGCCACCAGCAUCACCGCUAGCACCAGCAGCACCUCCACAAAGCCACUACAGAGAGGCAAGAACACUGUUGACAGGGGGAAUGAAAAAUAGAGGAAGAAAACAGCACAAUGAAGCAGAGGAGAGAGGAAGGAGAAUCAACAUCUGCCACCACAGCCAGCUGCCGCGACAACAACACCACCGUGAGCCACCAGCACCGUGAACCACAACGCCUCCAUUCCAGGUAAUUCUCUUCCUCUCGUCUUUGUUUCCCAUUUCAUCUUCUUGCACGCAGAAUGUGCACUGUGCAUGUUUCUGCAAGCAAUGAAAAAUAAUUACCUUGUUACUGUGCUCAUGCACAGUAACCAGGUAAUUGCAUUUGGCUGGUUACUGUGCACGGGUACAACGACCAGUCCGGGUUGGAUCAUGAGCUCAGUCUAUGCGGCUGGGUUGAGUCCAGCCUAAUAUAAGAUAGUUUGUAUUUUAUUGGGUUGAUCUCGACCCAGUUUCUUUUUUGGGUCGGGUCCGGCCCAUUCCAACAAAUGUUUUUUUUGUUUUCAUGCAUAGGACCAAGUAUCUCAAAGAAAAAAAAUCAUAUCAUAUUUUCAUACAACAAAAAUUCAAAAAUAUGUAUUAGCAUGCAUUUUGGCUUUAGUAACCAGUUUAUUAAAAUCACGAGAAUUAGGCCAAUAUUUGAAAAAUUCCAAAAAACAUUAUUUUGUUUUCUUUUAGUAUCUGGGGUUACGACCUUAUACGUAAGAUGUAUUCCGGAUAUUAAAUUAUUUUGUUGAUGUUUCAACGGUUAGGUUUUACCCGAUAAGAUAAGGAUCUCUUUAUCGAGGAGGACUUUUCUUAAACCAUAGACAAACCAACAACUAGAAAACAUGAUAAGACCUUAUAUUUUAUCAGACAAUAAAACAAUGCAGCUUACCUUAGGUAGGCAUAUUUGAGGUGCUAGUACCUUUUCUUUACACAACCAAUCCCCGUACCCGAUUUGUGAGACCAGUUAGGGUUCCUAGUGACCAAAAUACUAGGUGACGACUCCCAUUUCUGCUUUCCACGGAUAAAAGAUAAGAAUUCCUCGUCUCCCUAUUUUUCCUGAUUUUUCUAGGAUACUAAUAUUCUAGGAUUUGUGGACGCAAUCGCCGCGGUGCCGCACACGUGCGACAAUAUGCACAUUGUCAUAACCUAUUUUUGGAUUAUUCUCCAAAUAAAAAAAAAAAUUCUCCUAACCUCCAAAAAAAAAACCUGAAACAGUGCCGUUCUAAACGGCAUUGUUCUCCUUCUUCCCCUGCACACGUAGAAGCAGGGGAAGAAGAGGUUUAUUCUCCUGCAUUUCCCCGCUCCCUCUCUCUCCCAAAAUCGAAAAAACCCGAGACGACCCAUGCCCCUCACUUGGCACCAAACAAAACAAGCAGAGGGAACAAGCCCUGUGGGUGGCCCUGAGGCGGCUGCCUAGUGGCCUCCCAGCCCCUACCCCUGUGCCAUGACUGAACAGGGGUAGUAGACCUCUCUCCCUAUUUUUUUUUCUAUAAAUACCGACAUAAAAGAGGAACUAAAGGGGGGGAAUAGAGAGAAGGAAGAGAGAAAUAUAGAAGCAUAAGAAUAGAAACCGAAUGAAGGAGAAAUACAGAAAAUGCUGAGAAAGGAAGAAGAACCACCGGCCAAGCAGCUCGCCUAAGUUUGCCACUGCCACCAGCACUGUGAGUUACCAGUAGUACUGGCACAACCAGAAAACAAAAAAAAACAGAGAGCAAAAGAAAGGAAGCACAUAAGAGAAAGGAAAGCCGAAAAACAGAAGAUAGAUAAAGAAGAAGAUAAGCACUAUAACAUCUCUCUAGUCUCUUUCUCUCUGUCGCUGGAAACACCUCCUGCGACCACAACACUGCCACCGUGAACGACAGCGCCCCAUCACCAGGUAAGCUUCUUCCUCUUCCUCCUUUUCUUCUUUGUCUUCUCCAGGCCGCUCCACUGUUCUGCUUGAACAGUGGAGAGUGAAUUAAUUCACUCUUCAUUGUUCACGUGAACAUUGGAGAGUCCACUGUUUGUUUUAGUUUUCUGGGUCAGACAGCACUGGCAUAGACCAAAGUGGCUGGGCCGGGCCCGUCCCAGUAAACAAAUUUCCAAAAAUAUUUUAAAAAAUUUAUGAUUUUCCCGUGUAUUUUUCAACUGAAUUUUGCUUAAUAUUAGUUUGUAUUUUUAUAUCAUAAAGAUACAAAUCCAGUAUUAAAAUACCCGAUUUUCAUCACAACGUUGGAAAAUUAAAAAAAAAAACAUGUUUUUGUUUUUAUGCAUACGUCUAAGUCUCUCAAAGAAAAAAAAUCAUAUCAUAUUUUCAUACAAAACAAAUUCAAAAAAAAUGUUUUAACAUGCAUUUUGGCUUUAAUAACCAGUUUAUUAAAAUCAUGAGAACUAGGCCAAUAUUUCAAAAAUUCCAAAAAAAAUCAUUUUUUCUUUUAAUAUUAAGGAUUACACACUUAUACGUAAAGUGUAUUCUCGAUAUUAAAAAGAUAGUUUUUUUAAUUGACGUUAGAAUGAUUAGGUUUUACCCGAUAAGAUAAGAAUCUCCUUACCAAGAAGGACUUUUCUAAAACCAUAGACAGACCAAAAAUUAGAAAUACAAUAAAAUCGUAGCAUAUAUUAGACAAUAAAACAAUAUAGCUUACCUUAGGUAGGGCAUAUUUGGGGUGCUAAUACCUUUCCUUUACGCAACCAGUCCCCGUACUCGAUCUCUGAGACCAUUUAGGGUUCCUAGUGACCAAAAUACUAGGUGGGGACUCUCAUUCUAUUUUUCAUUGAUAAAAGACAAGAAUUCAUUGUCUCCCAUAUUUGUCAGAUUGAUACACUACCUGAGGGUGGACGAUCGCCGUGACGCCGCACACGUGCGACACACAUAGAAACUAAAUCCUAAAAUACCUAGAAACAAUAAUAAAAUUAGUAUAUAUAAAUGUAACAUAUAAAUUCUUUUUUAAAAAUAUGUUCAUGAAUAUUAAAUGAGAAUAAAUUAUCUAUUUUUUUUAAUUUUAAUAAUAGUUUUUUACAUUUUUUCUCAUAUUAAUUUUUUUUUUCUAUCACAUAUAAUUAAAUUAUUGAUUCAUGAUUUUUUAUGUUUAUAAUUGAAACUUGCUUUUCAAAUCAUUAUAAACUUUUAUUUAAAAACAAUGCUUUUUAUAUAUAAAAAAACAUGUUUUCAGAAAAAUAAACAAAAAAUACAUCAACAAGGAAAGAGAGUUUUGGUUUAAGAUAUACAUUUUCCCUCCGUACUUCAAAUGAUUUAAAUUUUAACGAAUAUUUAUUUUAGUUUUUUCCUCAAAAAAACAUGCUACUAAAAAGGACAUAAUGUUUCUAAAAAAAAAAAUGUAUGAAUAAGAAUGGAAAACAUAAUGUAUGAAUAAGAAUGGAAAAAAUUGCUGCCUAAAUUGAUAUCAAUCAGAUCUCUUGGAAAUAAAAAAUCAUGAAUCAUAAUUAAAUGAACGUAAUUGAUAGCUUCAAAAGAUCAAGACAUAAAUAUUGCCAUCACCUAAAUUACACGUUGUUUGUGCUUUUGCUUAUAAUUUAUUAUAUUAUUAUGAUUGUGGUAAAAUUAUUAACUUACAAUGACAUAAAUCUAUCGAUUAAAAUAAAAUUACAAACGCACAACGUAAAAAAAAGAAAAGAAAAAGCAGCUUCACUAGCCUGGAAGAUGAUCCCCUCUUCUUGACUGCUGCCAUUAUUGACCUAGUCCACAAAGCAAGUUAAUUAACUAAACUGGCGAUGGAUUAUGGAAUAAAAUAUUUGCGCUAUUAGUUAAAAGCAUUAUCAAGACUUACCUUCUCACACCGCCCUGAGUAGCUAGUGUCGUCUUCCACCAUUUCUGGCCGGAGCAUUCUUCCUUCUAAGCCUUUUUGCAUUUUGAUGUGCACUGUCUUCAACCAUCUUCACAAACCAUGCAGGUUUUCUUGCUCUAAAUACAACGUAUCCUAUAGAGACUCCAACUACAAAUCCACAUCCAUAACCCAUUGCUACAGCUUUCCAUCCUAAUCCCUCUCCAAACAUUGAAUCUUCUUUCUCGAAGUUUGAUGGUGGCGGUUGUUGCUCCUCACCUUUGUUGCAUUUUACUUGCAAGGGAAAUCCACAUAAUCCCAAGUUCCCUUCGUAAGAACCAUUUUCAAAUGUGUUGAACUGCUUACCUACAGGUAUGGGUCCCUCAAGUUGGUUAUAUGAAAGGUUGAGGACUUGAAGAUAUUUUAAAUCUACCAAUUGUUGAGGAAUCCUUCCAGCAAGCAAAUUUGAGGAGAGAUCCAGCGAUUCCAGAUUAGUUAAAUUCCCCAGUGAUGGCUGGAUAUAACCGAUGAGGCUGUUGUGAGAAAGGUUGAGCUGUAUCAGAGAUUUAAGCUUCCCAAGGGACUCUGGAAUCUUUCCCGUGAAUUUAUUGCAGGAUAAAUCAAGUAUUGUGAGGGCAAUUUGAAUUUUAGAAAACUCAACCUCGAAACCUUUCCAUGCCAAUUUUACAGAAUAAACAUAAGUAGUAGAUAAAUUGUGUGUCCUCAUGUAAUCCAUAUCCUGAUCAACGCUCAUUAUGGCUUUGAAGUUGUUGAAAUACUCUGUCGGCAAAGGACCACUCAGGUUAUUGUUGGAAAGGUCAAAAAUCUGCAAUUUAGAAAAAGCAUCCUUGACAGUUGGACCCUUCAAAGAACCAUGCAGUUUAUUUGACCUUAGAAUAACAACCUUCAACUUUGGAAGCGUUUCUAAAAAGGAAGGGAAUGUGCCAUCAAUCAUGUUGUUACUAAGGUCCAGAAAUUCUAAAUUCACACAAUUGAUGAUGGAUGGUGGUAUCACCCCUUUCAAUUGGUUGCCAUUGAAGUUGAGAUAUCUCAAACUAUUCCCCUCUGAAUAGAUUGAAGGGAUAUUGCCGUGGAGAUUGUUGCCACCAAGAUGCAAUACUGAGAGUCCAUAACUGAAGUUUCCCAAGCAUUGUGGGAUGAAUCCACUAAAGCUACUGUUGGACAAGUCUAGAAUCUCUAGGAACUUUAGCUCACAAAUGACAGAAGAGAUGUUCCCAAUCAGUUUAUCAUUGGAGGAAAGCAUAAGAACUUUCAAAUGUUCAAGCUUCAAAACUGAAGGUGGAAUCUGGCCAUACAACUUGUUAUGACUGAAAUUGAUAUAUUGUAAUGAAUUACAAAGGAACGGACUUAUGUGGCCAUACAAGAGGUUAUUGUUCAGAAGAAGAAACUGUAAUGAAGGCAUACAAAACAAGGAGGAUGGAAUUGUUCCAUUGAAAAAGUUAUGAGAUAAGUCGAGAAUGUUUAAAUCUGAAAGCCUACUUAAUAGUGAUGGGAUGUGUCCUAUCAGUUGAUUAUUAGAUAAAAAGAGUGUGGUUAGACCUGUAAGCCUAUUUAUUUGAUGAGGGAGGCCUGUUAGUCUAUUGUAAGAGAGGUCUAACCAAGUGAGAUGUGUGAGGUUAGCAAAAUUAUCUGGAAUUUUACCAAAAAAUUUAUUAAAAGAAAGUGUCAAAGAAUUUAGUUUUUUAAGGUUUCCAAGGAUGGAAUCUGAACAUCAAAUUUGUUAUAUGAGAGAUCCAACUCGGUGAGUUCAGUGAGGUUAGAAAACUCAUUCAGAAUUUGGGAAGUAAAAUUAUUGGCUGAGAGUUGUAAGCGACUGAGCUGCUUAAGGUUUCUAAGUGAGAAUGGCAGAUGACCUUGAAAAUUGUUAUCCGAGAGGCGCAACCACGCCAAUUGGGUUUGAUUAACAAAAAUAUCAGGAAUUGGACCAAUAAAAUUAUUGUUUCGGAGAUCCAAGUGCUCGAGUUGCUUAAGUUUUCCCAACGAGAAAGGGAUUUGACCACCAAACUGGUUACCUGCAAGUCCCAACUCAAUGAGUUGUGUGAGGUUACCAAAUAGAUCCAGAUUCGAGCCAACAAAAUUGCACCCACUAAGAUACAGCUUCUCCACAGACUUCAGAUGACUGAUUGAAUCUGGUUCCAAAUGAAUUGAGAUCCGCGUAUAUGACAGAUCCAAAUGCGAAAGAGCAUUGUUCAAAUUGUAUUGCGGAAAAGAGCCAGUAAGUCCUUCGUUGCUCCAUAAAUCGAGCCAUUGAAGGUUUGAUCGGCGAAAUAAAUUAUCAGGGAGAUCCCCUUUCAAUCCACAACGCCAGAGUUGGAGAUAUGACAAAGAAGAAGACAAGUUCAUCAAGGAACUGGGUACCACCAAAGACAUGUUCACUCCACCCAAGUAGAGUUCUCUCAGCUGGGUCAGGUUCUGAGCAAGCUUGUUGAAUGAAAUCGGUUCCAGCAUCAGCUCCCCAGAGUUGGAAGAGAGACCAAGGGACACCAAUCUGGAUAAAUGGGAGAUUUCUGGGGGAACUUGGCCUGCAAAAUUCGAUGAAUUUAGAUGUAAAUGCGUCAAAUGCAAGAACUGACCAAAGGAAGAUGAAAUGACAGAGCGAUUGAAGUCAUUGUAAGAGAGAUUAAGCUUCUGAAGAUGAUGAAGGGAGAAGAGAGUGCUGUUAGAAUGGAGGGUGCCAUAAAGCAUGCUGCAACCAAGGUCUAGGCCAAUUACAUGGCCAGUUUUCAUGUUGCAUGUCACGCCAUCCCAAGUGCAGCAAUCUGUACCCUCUUUCCACAGCACUUUCUCGGGUGGAUGACAUGGAAAUGUAGAUGGAGAAGAAGGCAUGGGAAAGGAAUUUUUGAAUUGGAGCAAAGCCAGGCUCUGGUCACCGGGGCAUAAUUGUACUGAAGAGGAGAAAUUGGAAGAAGAAUGAGCAGGUUGGGAGUGGGAAUGGAAGAAAAGGAGGCAGAGAAAUUGAGCGAGCAACAAUGAAGAUCCCAUCAUUCCCUAAAAGUGCUCUUCUUAGAGAUUAAAAAGUGGAUUGCACUGUUCGGGUGACUUCUUUUUUUUAUUAUUUUUUUUUAUUUUUUUCUCUUUCAGUAUGUUUAGUUUUUGUAUUUUUUUUAAAAAAAACUAGUUUAGAGUGAAUUAAAUUUACUCGCAUUUUCAUGUAAACAAUAUUUUUUUCCUGAAAAAUUAGUGUAGAGUGAAUUAAAUUUUAUAUAAAGUAUUAUUUAUUUCAUGAAGUAAUAACAAUAGUUAAAUCUACAACAUUUAAAUUAAAAAACCAUCAAUUUUAAUAUAUAUAUUUUAAAAUUAUUUUAUAACUUUAAUUUUAAAAGCAUUCUUAACCAAACACAUUAAACUACUUUUUAUUCAACCUCAAUUUCAACCACAGUUUUAACCAAACACCUAUUUUUUCAAACCAACCACAAUUAAAAGUACUUUUUAUAAAACAACUUUUUUCAAACCACAACCACAACAGCUACCGCAAUACCAAACACCCUCUAAGAUUUUUACCGGAAAAAAUGGUUAUUGAAUCAGAUCUGAUUGGGCUGAUUAACCUAAUAUUAUUAGAGUUUUUUAUUUUUUUAUAUAAAUUGUUAUAAUAGUCAUUUUGAGAAAUGCAUGCAUAGAAAAAUAAAAUUAAAUAUUUUCCUAUAUUUAUGAUGUUUUUAGUAUUUAAGAAUUUUAAUUUAUAACAACCUUCUUUAUCUUUUGUUUCUUCCUGCAUCACAAUCAUUCUUUUUUAAAAGGGUUUUAGAAAAUUAAUACAUGCCAGACCCAUGAGCUGGACUUUGGUUGCCAAAGACUUCGCUACAAUUUCUCGAGUAUCAUCCAUCAAGUGAUGGUGAUAUCUUGGAACUAUACAUAUUUCCACCUCGGGCUAGUCUGAAUUGGGCACCACGAGAGUUGGUGCGUUUAAUUUUCAAGGUGCACCACCUAACAUGGUUGUUGUUGAUUUUAGAAUUGAUAAAAUUAAUUGAGAUGUAUAAGCUAAUUUAGACAUUUAUAUUAAUAAAAAUAACAUGUUUAUUAUUUUCCAGCAUUAGAUUUUGAGACUAGUCAAUAUUAAAAGUGUUUGGGAUUGUGUUUUAGAAAAAUCCUGAUUUUUUUUUAGCUUUGAAUUAUUAUAAUUUUUUAUUUUUAUAUUAUCUAAUAUAUUGAUGUUAAAAAUUUGAAAGACUAAAGAAAAAAUAACAAAAUGCACAAUUAAGAAGGCAUAAAAAACUUUAUUUUAACUCCUGAAGUUUCAGUUUACAUAGUAUUUGGUCUUUGCAGUUUCUUAAUUUUAUAUAUUAUUUCUAAACUUUAUUUUUACCAUACUUACUCCCUGAGUUCGGUGAGACGAGAGAGAAAGCCAUAUGAAAAAAAAAGAAGAAGAGAGAAAGUGGUUGAGAAGUCACGUCUUAAUCAUAAAAAUAUCAAUCUUGAUGUUAAUAAAUUUGUUUGGAAGAAUAGAGUUCAAAUACACCAUUAUGACAUGCUACAUUGUGCCACCACCUCACUAUCACAAUUUUACCACCGCACAACUACUACUGGUUCACAAUAUAGAAUUAUUAUCUAUUAUAUAUAUUCCAAUUAAUUUUUAACAUCAACAAAUAGUUUUUAGACAAUAUGUAGUAAGAAACAUUACAACAAAAGCUAUAUUUCUAAUGGUGUAUUUUGCUAAAACCAAUACAAUAUAAAUAGAAAAGAUAGGACUAAACAAAGUAAGCUCUAUACGGUCUUUAACCCUAACCCUAUAGAACCCGAUAUCAAAAUCAUAGUCAAACACAUAAAGCCGCACGGUUAGCCAUAGAAAGCCUAAAAGUACAUAAAGUUUGAAAGAGAUGAAUCGAUAUAAUUAUGGUCCCUGGUGUCAACAUCAUAAAUAAAAAAUGUGGGCCAAUUGUCCAGUGAUUGAAGUAAAUGAGUGGGAACAUUAUUCACGUGAACGUCGUUAACUUACAACUACCAAAUUCAGACACAACCAUGACCACAACCAGACACAUUUUAAUGUCGAACUCAUAUCAAUAUCUCUCUCCUAUAUUAUUACAUGCCAUGACUCUCCAAGACACAAGUAGCUAGCCAGGAAGAUGAUCCCCUCCUUUUGACAGCUGUCAUUAUAGUCCCUGUCCACAGGUCCUUAAUUUCUUGAAUCUUUUACAAGAAAAAAAGAGCAAGCAAUGCCAAACUGAAGAUUUUUUAGAUUUCCUAGUCGAAAUUCAGGAAGCUAAAUAUAACUGUAACAACACAUUCACAUAGAAAAUAUAUAAGAUUUAAUGGGCGAAGAAAGAAUUCACAGUUUUUAUUCUUUGAAAAUAAAAUAUAUGAUAGUUUUUUUUUUUAGAGGUUUACACGAACUUUAAAUAAAUUAUAAAAUCCUACCCUAUUACAAAACAACUACAAAUCUGACAGCAUGCAAGAAGUGAAAAAAAAAUCUAAAUAAAAAAAAAGUACUAAAAUACCUAGAAAAAAUAAUAAAAUUAUUAUAUAUAAAUCUAAUAUAGAAAUCCUUUUUUAAAAUAAAUUCAUGAAUAUUAAAUGAGCAUAAAUUAUCUAUUUUUUUAUUUUAACAAUAAUUUUUUACAUGUUUUUCUCAUAUUAAUUGUUUUCCUAUCACAUAUAAUUAAAUUAUUGAGUAAUGAUUUUUUAUGUUUAUAAAACUUUUAUUUAAAAUAAUGCUUUUUAUAUAUAAAAAAAAACAUGUUUUCAUCAAAAUCAAAAUAAGACAUAAUCACCUCGUUAGUGGUUUUGCUUAUAAUUUAUUAUAUUAUUAUGAUUCCGGUAAAAUCAUUAACUUACAAUGACAUAAAUCGAUCGAUUAAAAAAAAUUACAAACACACGACGUAAAAAAAAAAAAAAGCAGCUACACUAGCCUGGAAGAUGAUCCCCUCUUCUUGUGAAUAUGUCUUCAACCAUAUUCACAAACCAUGCAGCUUUUCUUGCUCUAAAUACAACAUAUCCUAUAGAGAUUCCAAAUACAAAUCCACAUCCAUAACCCAUUGUUACAGCUUUCCAUCCAAAUCCCUCUUCAAACAUUGAACCUUGUUUCUCGAAGUUUGACGGUGGCGGUUGUUGCCCCUCACCUUUGUUGCAUUUUACUUGCAAGGGAAACCCACAUAAUCCCAAGUUCCCUUCGUAUGAACCAUUUUCAAAUGUAUUGAACUGCUUACCUUGAGGUAUGAGUCCCUCAAGUUGGUUAUACGAAAGGUUCAGGACUUGAAGAAAUGUUAAAUCUACCAAUUCCUGAGGAAUCCUUCCAGCAAGCAGAUUUGAAGAGAGAUCCAACGACUCCAGAUCAGUUAAAUUCCCCAAUGACGGCUGGAUACAACCAAUGAGGCUGUUGUGAGAAAGGUUGAGCUGUUUCAGAGAUUUAAGCUUCCUGAGGGACUCUGGAAUCUUUCCCGUGAAUUUAUUGCAGGAUAAAUCAAGUGUCGUGAGCGCAAUUUGAAUUUUAGGAAACACAGUCUGCGAACCUUUCCAUGCCAAUUGUACAGAAAAAACAUAAGUAGUAGAUACAUUUUUUGUCCUCAUGUAAUCCAUAUCCUGAUCAAUGCUCAUCAUGGCUUUGAAGUUGUUGAAAUACUCUGUUGGCAAAGGACCACUCAGGCUGUUGUUGGAAAGGUCAAAAAUCUGUAAUUUAGAAAAAGAGUCCUUGACAGUUGGACCCUUCAAAGAACCAUGAAGUUUAUUUGACCUUAGAAUAACAACCUUCAACUUUGGAAGCGUUUCUAGAAAGGAAGGGAAUGUGUCAUCAAUCAUAUUGUUACCAAGAUCCAGAAAUUCUAAAUUCACACAAUUGAUGAUGGAUGGUGGUAUCACCCCUUUCAAUUGGUUGCCAUUGAAGUUGAGAUAUCUCAAAUCAUUCCCCUCUGAAUAGAUUGAAGGGAUAUUGCCGUGGAGAUUGUUGCCACCAAGAUGCAACACUAAGAGUCCAUCACUGAAGUUUCCCAAGCAUUGUGGGAUGAAUCCACUAAAGCCAUUGUUGGACAAGUCUAGAAUCUCUAAGAACUUCAGCUCGCAAAUGACGGAAGAGAUGUUCCCAGUCAGUUUAUCAUUGGAGGAAAGCCUAAGAAGUCUCAAAUGUUCAAGCUUGAAAACUGAAGGUGGAAUCUGGCCAUACAACUUGUUGAAACUAAGAUUGAUAUAUUGUAAUGACUUACAAAGGAACGGACUUAUCUGGCCAUACAAUAGGUUAUUGUUCAAAAGAAGAAAAUGCAACGAAGGCAUGGAAAACAAGGAGGAUGGAGUUGUUCCAUUGAGCAAGUUAUGAGAUAAGUCGAGAAUGAUUAAACCUGAAAGCCUACUUAUUUGUGAUGGGAUGCGUCCUAUCAGUUGAUUAUUAGAUAAAAGUAGUGCAGUAAGACUUGAAAGCCUGCUUAUUUGAAAAGGGAUCAGACCUAUUAGUCUAUUGUACGAGAGGUCCAACCACUCAAGCUGUGUGAGUUUAAACAAACUAUCCGGAAUUGGACCAAUAAAACUAUUGUUUCCAAGAUGCAAGUACUUGAGUUGCUUAAGUUUUCCUAAUGAGAAAGGGAUUUGACCACCAAACUGGUUAUCUUUAAGGCCCAACUCAAUGAGUUGUGUGAGGUUACCAAAUAGAUCCAGAUUCGAGCCAACAAAAUUGCACCCACUAAGAUACAGCUUCUCCACAGACUUCAGAUGACUGAUUGAAUCUGGUUCCAAAUGAAUUGAGAUCCGCGUAUAUGACAGAUCCAAAUGCGAAAGAGCGUUGCUCAAAUUGUAUUGCGGAAAAGAGCCAGUGAGUCCUUCGUUGCUCCAUAAAUCGAGCCAUUGAAGGUUGGAUCUGCGAAAGAAAUUAUCAGGGAGUUCCCCUUGCAAUCCACAAUCCCAGAGUUGGAGAGAUGACAAAGAAGAAGACAAGUUCAUCAAGGAACUGGGUACCACCAAAGACAUGUUCACUCCACCCAAGUAGAGUUCUCUCAGCUGGGUAAGGUUCUGAGCAAGCUUGUUGAAAGAAAUCGGUUCCAGCAUCAGCUCCCCAGAGUUGGAAGAGAGACCAAGGGACACCAAUCUGGAUAAAUGGGAGAUUUCUGGGGGAACUUGGCCUGCAAAAUUCGAUGAAUUUAGAUCUAAAUG